ACUGCCCAAGUGCUCACACGGACAGGGCCCACAUGCACCGCUCAGCUCAGUGCCUCACUGCCUCAGCCUCUAGCCCUCUCCCACAAUCCCACUCCCAAGUCCCAGCCCAGCUCAAGAGGCGACAACCUCACAACUCACAAGUCACAAGACUCACAACCCUUAUUCCAUUCGAGAUUUCAAGCCCUAGAAUCACAGCGACAACCUCACAAGUCACAACCCCUAUUCCAUUCGAGCCCUAGAAUCACAAGCCCUUGAAUCUGAUCAACCAGCAGUUGGAGCCUGGAUUUUAUUGCCAGAGAGUGCCGCUGUCCUAUUCGAUUCUCCACCGUGAGCGACUGACGAGUCGCGAGCAUCUCUGUUCGGACUUCAGAGAGCCAGCACGAGAGGAGCGAGUGAGAGACGGAGACCCUUCGAGCUUCAGUUCUGGCCUUCAUGAGUUCGUCGUGAACCCUUCGGGCUUCAAACCAGCAGGGCUGUAGGAGCUUUCGCUACACAAACACAGCUACAAAAUACCCUUCGGUUCCUUCGUAACUCGGAGCUAGCGUGAUAUAUAGAUGGAUCGAAGAGUCAAAAUGGUUCGGGUGGAUAAGAAGAAUGAAACGAAGCUCUACACUAAGGAGCAGAUAAGGGACAUAUUCAAGAAAUACGACAAGGACCAGAAUGGGGUCCUAUCCAAGGAGGAGCUUAAGACAGCCUUCCGACACAUGGGCUCUCGUGCCCCUAAAAUUAGGGUAUGCCUUAGUCUCUAUGCUGCAGAUGCCAAUGGUGACGGUGUCAUCAGCGAGAAUGAACUUGAAGACCUUGUUAAAUACGCUGCUGCUUUAGGGUAUAAAGUGAAGUAACAGAUGAACAACAUUCCUAAUUAACUGUAGCUUUGUUAUAUGCCUAUGUAUUGAAGCUUUUGUUUCAAUAUCAAUUGUAGUAUAUUUGUGUGAUGGUGGUGGGCUAGAAAUAUGUGAUGGCCUCCUUCAUAUAUAUAUAUAUAUCUUGGUGAUGUGGUUUCAUAAGCUGGGUUAGCAAGGUUUGGAUGUUCAUGUGAACGCACAUCCUCCUUCUUAACUUGAAUUAUGUAGAAGUAUGUCUUAUAUAUGUAUUUGAUGAUGAAUUAUACAUAUAUGUUGUGUUUUUCUUAAAUAAACAAAAAGUUUGUUAAGUGUAAAA